UGUUCCCUGCGGUGUUUGCCAAGGCCAUACAUUCUUUGAACCAAUGCUAAUUGGCGUCGGUUGCAGACCAUAGAAGCUGCUGUUGUGCGCGCCUUACUCGAUGGGUGUGCCUGAUGCGGAAGGAAUGCGACCAAUCUGAACUCCGGUUCAGGAUGCCGGCCUAGCGGCACUCGCGGGGACAUA
rnacentral:other from 1 species